rnacentral:rRNA from 1 species
AGAGUUUGAUCCUGGCUCAGAACGAACGCUGGCGGCAUGCCUAACACAUGCAAGUCGAACGCGUGACUUCGGUCACGAGUGGCGCACGGGUGAGUAGCGCGUGGGAACCUGCCCUUGGGUACGGAAUAACCGCGGGAAACUGCGGCUAAUACCGUAUACGCCCUUAGGGGGAAAGAUUUAUCGCCCAAGGAGGGGCCCGC